AUUGAACGCUGGCGGCGGGCCUAACACAUGCAAGUCGAGCGGAGCGGCGGACGGGUGAGUACUGCCUAGGAAUCUGCCCGUUGGUGAGGGAUAACGUCCGGAAACGGGCGCUAAUAAAGCAUACUAUCAGGGGGGCCUAGGUCGGAUUAGCUAGUUGGUGGGGUAACGGCCUACCAAGGCGACGAUCCGUAACUGGUCUGAGAGGAUGAUCAGUCACACUGGAACUGAGACACGGCCCAGACUCCUACGGGAGGCAGCAGUGGGGAAUAUUGGACAAUGGGCGAAAGCCUGAUCCAGCCAUGCCGCGUGAGUGAAGAAGGUCUUCGGAUUGUAAAGCUCUGUAAGUUGGGAGGCGUUAUCUACAGAAUAAGCACCGGCUAACUUCGUGCCAGCAGCCGCGGUAAUAC
rnacentral:rRNA from 1 species